rnacentral:rRNA from 1 species
GUGAGUAGAGUGGCGAACGGGUGAGUAAUGCAUAGGAACGUACCGACAAGUGGGGAAUAACAGUUGGAAACGACUGCUAAUACCGCAUGUGGAGUAAUCUAAAGGUGGCCUCUUCUUGAAAGCUACCGCUUGUCGAUCGGCCUAUGUCCCAUUAGCUAGUUGGUAGGGUAAUGGCCUACCAAGGCAACGAUGGGUAGCUGGUCUGAGAGGAUGAUCAGCCACACUGGGACUGAGACACGGCCCAGACUCC